CCCGGGCCUUGUACACACCGCCCGUCACACCAUGGGAGUGGGUUGCAAAAGAAGUAGGUAGCUUAACCUUCGGGAGGGCGCUUACCACGGUGUGGCCGAUGACUGGGGUG
rnacentral:rRNA from 1 species